ACGCACGCUGGCGGCGUGCUUAACCCCUGCAAGUCGAACGGAAAGGCCCUGCUUUUGUGGGGUGCUCGAGUGGCGAACGGGUGAGUAACACGUGAGUAACCUGCCCUUGACUUUGGGAUAACUUCAGGAAACUGGGGCUAAUACCGGAUAGGAGCUCCUGCUGCAUGGUGGGGGUUGGAAAGUUUCGGCGGUUGGGGAUGGACUCGCGGCUUAUCAGCUUGUUGGUGGGGUAGUGGCUUACCAAGGCUUUGACGGGUAGCCGGCCUGAGAGGGUGACCGGCCACAUUGGGACUGAGAUACGGCCCAGACUCCUACGGGAGGCAGCAGUGGGGAAUAUUGCACAAUGGGCGGAAGCCUGAUGCAGAACGCCGCGUGCGGGAUGACGGCCUUCGGGUUGUAAACCGCUUUCGCCUGUGACGAAGCGUGAGUGACGGUAAUGGGUAAAGAAGCACCGGCUAACUACGUG
rnacentral:rRNA from 1 species